AUUGAACGCUGGCGGCAGGCCUAACACAUGCAAGUCGAACGAGUGGCGGACGGGUGAGUAAUGUCUGGGAAACUGCCUGAUGGAGGGGGAUAAAUACUGGAAACGGUAGCUAAUACCGCAUACCAUCGGAUGUGCCCAGAUGGUAUUAGCUAGUAGGUGGGGUAAAGGCUCACCUAGGCGACGAUCCCUAGCUGGUCUGAGAGGAUGACACUCCCCCAUGGAACUGAGACACGGUCCAGACUCCUACGGGAGGCAGCAGUGGGGAAUAUUGCCCAAUGGGCGCAAGCCUGAUGCAGCCAUGCCGCGUGUAUGAAGAAGGCCUUCGGGUUGUAAAGUACUUUCAGCGGGGAGGCGUUACCCGCAGAAGAAGCACCGGCUAACUCCGUGCCAGCAGCCGCGGUAAUUC
rnacentral:rRNA from 1 species